rnacentral:rRNA from 1 species
AGCGAACGCUGGCGGCAGGCUUAACACAUGCAAGUCGAGCGGGCACCUUCGGGUGUCCGCGGCAGACGGGUGAGUAACACGUGGGAACGUACCCUUCGGUUCGGAAUAACGCUGGGAAACUAGCGCUAAUACCGGAUACGCCCUUAUGGGGAAAGGUUUACUGCCGAAGGAUCGACCCGCGUCUGAUUAGCUAGUUGGUGGGGUAACGGCCUACCAAGGCGACGAUCAGUAGCUGGUCUGAGAGGAUGAUCAGCCACACUGGGACUGAGACACGGCCCAGACUCCUACGGGAGGCAGCAGUGGGGAAUAUUGGACAAUGGGCGCAAGCCUGAUCCAGCCAUGCCGCGUGAGUGAUGAAGGCCUUAGGGUUGUAAAGCUCUUUUGUCCGGGACGAUAAUGACGGUACCGGAAGAAUAAGCCCCGGCUAACUUCGUG